GUCAUGUCAGCAGCACAUGCACCCAAAUUGGAACCAUGCAGGGAAGACCAGUGUGGCUCCUGCACAAGGAUAUCACAGAAAUUCAGAGGGUGUUCCACAAUUUUU
ensembl:snRNA U6 U6 spliceosomal RNA